UUUAAAAAGAUGAAAUAAUAUUGAAAUAUCUCAGGAUCAAGAAUAGAAUUUGUACUCAAUUUUCUAUACAUUUAACAAAAGGAAGUCAUAUAAUACAUAUUAAAUGUAAACAAUAUGGAUUUAGUAACAUUGUUAUACUCAAACAUGGUAAAAAUCUUAUACAUAUACAUAUAUGACCCAAUUUGUUGGUUGUGUCAGGGACACAGGAUGUGAAUAAUGACAUACGUAGUAUAAGCAAACAAAAUUGUGUAUGUAAAACGUUAUUAAAAAUAUUUUGUAUGAACUAAAACAAUUAAAAUAAGAUGAGAGCAUCCAGAGACAUCGUCAGGCACUUUGAAUGCUAACGACCGCAUGAAUUUCAAGCAGCAAGCGGAUAGAGCAAAUGAUGAACUCAUAUGCUCCAGAUUCUAGACACACACACGUACCAUUUAAGUUUGGUUGAGCUGGUGCAGCUGCAACAACUUCGGCGGGUGCAACAACAUCGGCGGCGUUCGCUGCACUGGCGCUGGCUCCUUGCAAAAACAACAAGAGCGACGCCAGAAACAACAAUGCGCAAUUUAUAUGCUUUUCCAUGUCGUUGGCUUUGUUAUUCCCGAAACACUGAAUUCCACACCCACUCACACUCGCUCACUUUCACAAUUCUAACGCAGAGAUUUAUGUUAUGAUAAUUGUUGCAUAUUCCGGGAGGCAACUUUGCUUUGAAAUUAAACAGCCUUUCUCCGCUGCACAACCGAACGCAACAACGAUGAUAACAUGAAUGAAAAU